CCUAAAAGAACAAGGGCCAUGGAUUAAAGAAAUUCAGAUUUAUUUUGUCUGUGCUUUUUUUAUGUACUGUUAGAGCCAUUAGAUUAUAUGGGCUACCUUGCUCAUAAUAAAAAAUAUAAUUUGGAUAAGUGUUACCAGUACUGUAUAUAAUUUUUAGUUUUCAUGUAGUGAUUGACAAUAAUUUAAUCAAUAGCUCAUUUUAAUCUCUGUGUAGCCCUGGCUGUCCUGGAACUCACUCUGUACACCAGGCUGGCCUCGAACUCAGAAAUCCGCCUGCUUCUGCCUCCCGGGUGCUGGGAUUAAAGGCAUGCGCCACCAUGCCUGGCUUAGAUCAUCAAUCUUAGUACAGAGAUGAAGAAACUAAUAGCCUAGUAACCUAUUAGUUCUGUCACACACUCUCCAAUGAAGAACAAGAAACAUACUCGAAAGUAAAGAAACUCAGUGUGUACUUAUAGUGAACUCUCCUAAAAUGUCUGUGUCUUACUAGUAAACUGAUGCCCACUCUUUCUUUUUUUUCUUUUUUGUCAUAGGCUCAGUUUAUGUAGCCCCGGAUGGCUGGAACACAUGAGAUCUGCCUGUGUCUGUACCCCAGUGCUGCAGGGCUAAUCAAGUCCCAAAUGAAGCUUUUGAUGUUUUCAUCCCCACGGUAGUGUAGAAGACAGUACACGAGGAUGGCACGGCAUAUUGUCUCAACAUCUCUUUCAGUCAUGCGCCGCUUAAAUCGUCCGUGAGACAAAAUAUCUCUCCAACGUCCCCAACUAACAAAACAGGAAAAGUAAGCAACACAAAUAUUUUGGGGGACAUUCGAAUUCAGUGAUAUUUAUUUCCCUGGUUCCCAGAAUUGCCAUCUCCUCCAAGAGUAGAAAAUAAACAGAAACUCUGUCACAGGCCAAGUGUCUUUCAUGUGGUGCUUCUUGGCCACGUUGUCCAUGGUGAAAGUCAGGCAGCAUGCACAUGCCCUACUGCUCACAGAAAGCUGCAUCUUACCCAUAUACCAGGAGAUGCUUUUCUACCCGGAAGCAGUCAGUGCGCCCAUAGGUGUGAUGCCGGUCAUGUCUUCGGGAACGUGGCCGUUCAUCAUCUUCACUUUCCAAAUCAGAAAACUCAACCAGGUCAUCAUCUUUCAAAGUGCUGAAGUGUCGAGUCUGUUUCCGAACUCGAGGUGUGUCGAUCACUAAGUUAUUCUAUAUAGAAAAAGGACAUAGAACUAUGAUAUGCUAAUAUGACGUAAUCUUGAAUUUGAAUAAGUUACCAAAGUACUCAAAUUUUUAGAGAAUGUAAAACAAUCUACAAGGCUCAGGAAGAAAAAGAGGUGGACAUCUGUGGAUCAUAGCUUUGAAUGCUUUGUCACUGAGAACUGGCACUAUUAGAAAGUAUAAGGACAUGUGGCCUUGUUGGAGGAAAUGUGUCACUUGUGAUGAGCGUUAAGCUAGGUCAAGUGUCUCUCUUUUCCUGCUGCCUUUGGAUCCAGAUGAAGAACUCUUGAGCUACCAUGUUUGCUUGCUUACCACCACGCUUCUGGCCAUGAUAAUAAUGGACUAAACCUCUGAAACUGUAAGCAAGCAUCAAUUAAAUACUUUCCAUUAUAAGA